AUACGUAGGGUGCGAGCGUUAAUCGGAAUUACUGGGCGUAAAGCGUGCGCAGGCGGUUUUGUAAGACAGUGGUGAAAUCCCCGGGCUCAACCUGGGAACUGCCAUUGUGACUGCAAGGCUGGAGUGCGGCAGAGGGGGAUGGAAUUCCGCGUGUAGCAGUGAAAUGCGUAGAUAUGCGGAGGAACACCGAUGGCGAAGGCAAUCCCCGGGGCCUGCACUGACGCUCAUGCACGAAAGCGUGGGGAGCAAACAGGAUUAGAUACCCUGGUAGUCCACGCCCUAAACGAUGUCAACUGGUUGUUGGGAAUUUAUUUUCUCAGUAACGAAGCUAACGCGUGAAGUUGACCGCCUGGGGAGUACGGCCGCAAGGUUAAAACUCAAAGGAAUUGACGGGG
rnacentral:rRNA from 1 species